UUGUGUCCGAAUCCGAGUUCAGACUGUCCAACGAAAAGCGAUGAGUUUACGUUACCGAAUAGAUUGUCCAACGAAAAGCGAUGAUUAAUAGGCAGUAUUGACACAGAGGAUUCUGUUGGGGAAAAAUAAGUCGCUCCAAAAUAUAAGGGCACGCGGUCGGCACGUACCUAAAGAUGCCUGAUUUGGAGCCGACCAAAAGAUGCUCGAUCUGGAGGCGCCCGACCAGAAGGCGCCCGGCCAGGCGCCCGACCAGAAAGCACCCGACCUAGAGGCGUCCGACCA
rnacentral:lncRNA from 1 species